rnacentral:rRNA from 1 species
UGGGGAAUUUUGGACAAUGGACGCAAGUCUGAUCCAGCCAUGCCGCGUGCGGGAAGAAGGUCUUCGGGUUGUAAACUGCUUUUGUCAGGGAAGAAACGAGUUUCUCUAAUACAGAGACUUAAUGACGGUACCUGAAGAAUAAGCACCGGCUAACUACGUGCCAGCAGCCGCGGUAAUACGUAGGGUGCGAGCGUUAAUCGGAAUUACUGGGCGUAAAGCGUGCGCAGGCGGUUAUGUAAGACAGAUGUGAAAUCCCCGGGCUCAACCUGGGAACUGCAUUUGUGACUGCAUGGCUAGAGUACGGUAGAGGGGGAUGGAAUUCCGCGUGUAGCAGUGAAAUGCGUAGAUAUGCGGAGGAACACCGAUGGCGAAGGCAAUCCCCUGGACCUGUACUGACGCUCAUGCACGAAAGCGUGGGGAGCAAACA